UACAGAGGGUGCGAGCGUUAAUCGGAAUUACUGGGCGUAAAGCGCACGUAGGUGGCGACGUAAGUCGGGUGUGAAAGCCCCGGGCUCAACCUGGGAAUUGCAUUCGAGACUGCAUUGCUGGAGUACGGAAGAGGAGGGCGGAAUUCCCGGUGUAGCGGUGAAAUGCGUAGAUAUCUGGAGGAACACCGGUGGCGAAGGCGGCAUCCUGGACCGACACUGACGCUGAGGCGCGAAAGCUAGGGUAGCAAACGGG
rnacentral:rRNA from 1 species